GACGAACGCUGGCGGCGUGCCUAACACAUGCAAGUCGAACGGACAGGCCCUGCUUUUGUGCCGUGCUCGUGAGGCGCACGGGUGUGUAACACGCGAGUAUCCCCCCCCUAACUUUCGGAUAACUCCACGAAACUAGGGCUAAUACCGCAUAUAAGCUCCUGCAGCAUGGGGGGCGUUGGAAAGUUUCGGCGGUUGGGGAUGGACUCGCGGCUUAUCAGCUUGUUGGUGGGGUAGUUGAAUACCAAGGCUUCGACGGGUAGCCGGCCUGAGAGGCUGACCGGCGUCAUUGGGACUGAGGGACGGCCCAGACGCCUACGGGAGGCAGCAGUGGGGAGUAUUGCGGAGUGGGCGGAAGCGUGAGGCGGCAGCGCCGGGAGCGGGAUGACGGCCUACGAGUGAUAAACCACUUUCGCCUGUGACGAGGCGUGAGUGACGGUAACGGGUAAAAAAGCACCGGCUAACUACGUG
rnacentral:rRNA from 1 species